UAUAUACUGUGUGUGUGUGUGUGUGUGUGUGUGUGUGUACACACACACACACACACACAGGAAAUUUG